rnacentral:lncRNA from 1 species
ACUCCCUAGGACUAUAGGAGGGGAGAUGCACCAAUACUUAUCUUUAUUGGCUUCUUCUUCUCAUCCUUUCCUUUUUCUUUCUGUCUUUAAUUGAGACGGCCCCACCUUCUAGUCAGUCAACGAUUCAAUGAACAGUGCAUUGACUGGUGUCUUUCAAUGUUAGGUAAAGCCUCUUGUUUCAGUGAUUCAGUCUUUCAGCUAGCUGCUGUAUACCACUACUCGUCAAGCAAAGCUGCAGACAGGUCGUUCUAACGACUUGUGGUUCGCCAUCCAUGCAGGAGAAGAGAAGAAAAGUCAUUUACUUCAAUUGCCUCUUGACAACGGUAUACCACUCAACUUCCUGUACAAUUUGUCGGCUACAGUUCAAGAAGGAUUGGUAGACGUUGCCGCUUCUCAUUGUUGGCUUGUUGCACAUGGGCAUCCUCGGUAAAUUUCAAACCUUGAAAAUUCAGCACAACAGUAACAGUUGAUGGCCAUUCAUGAAAAUGACAGUAACAGUUGAUAUGCACUCAUAUGUGGAUGUGUCAGUGUCAAUGGCCAUAAGGAAAUGCGCAGUGAGUUAUGGACUUCACAUAGUAUUAAUCUGGCCAGUCAUCGGAUGUGAUUUCUGAAAUAGUAAUGUUAAUAUGUUUUUUUUUCAUGGAGAAGUGCAAAUGUUCUUGUCCAAGCAUUUUCUGCACCUUGAAUAUUAGAGAAUCUUUCAUCUAGUCCCGUUAUUUGCUUAUUUACGUACAAAAACAAACUAAGAACAACUUUGUGUAUAAUUUCGUGAUGAUCAUCCUUUUUUAUGCGAAUGUUUCACCGUGCAGAAGGUGAGAAGGAAAUACUUAAUGAGUUGGAGACUUCACAUAAGCAAUAACGUCAAUAGCUUUGUGAUGGAGAAGUGUAUACUGUAAACCCUCUUGUCCAAGCAUUUUCUAUACCGUGAAUAAUCCUCCUCUAAUC